GGUGAAUAAUGCAUGGAGUAAAUACCUACAGGAAGCCUUCCCAUAGGUGUAAAACCUUUAUUUCAGGAAAUAAAAGGAAGAUAUAUUGAUUUUUUAAUUAGAAUCAACUGUUUGGCUGAAUCUGCAUAAUGAGGAUUAAUGGAGCUUUAUUUCCUGCUCUCUCUGCCCAAGUCACUCUACAGUAGGGCCCUCAGAGAGCCCUAGUAACUUCUUCAAUUUACUGACAGAUGGAUCACUUUGCAGUAAAAUAAUAUUUAAUGCCAGGAAAUGUGAAGAAUUCACCUGGAACUAAGUAGAAAACUCCAUGCUCUGCCAUCUUAAUCAGGAAAAACUAGACCAGACCUCUGUUAUCUUCUGUGAAAUCAUCCUACAAGCAAACUAACCUGGAAUCCCUUCACCUAGAGAUAAUGUA
rnacentral:lncRNA from 1 species